UCUCCUUUACACCAGGAGCAGCUGGAGUAGGAUUCUGCCCAAGCAGAUGGGGGCUCUCCUCUCCUGGCCUUAGGAGCAGAACAGACCAGUCCUGAACUUCAGUGUGCCUCUGGGUCCAUCUCCUAAGGGGAGGCGGGAGCAGAUGGACCUAAGAAUGGAGGGCUUGGGACAGUGGCCUUUUCUGAUUGGACUGCUGCUGAAUGAACGCUCCCAGCUUACUCCAACUGAGCACAGUAAAUGGCACUUCUCUGCUCAGCUGCGCCUGCAUUACCUCUCCAACAUUUACCCAGACCCUAGGAGGCAUAUACCAACAUCAACCUGUUUACAGAUGAAGAAACCAAUCCAGAGCGGUGGAAGAACCCAGCAGAGGCCACACAGGCCAUUUGGGGGAGAGAAAUAAAUCUAAGUAUUAAACUCUCAAGCCACCGUAUCCUCUGCCUCCCAAGAACACGGCAGUAGCUAAUGAAAUCAGAAAACACAGCAUGUGUCCCGCUGAAUUCUCCUCCUAGGCUGGCAAAGACAUAUGAGCCAAGGGUCUAGCCUGUUCCUCUCUAGGUUUGCCUUUAUCCAGCCCACACCACAGUACAGCAUGGACCCUCUAAAUAAAGAGUGGCUGUAGCCAGGCUUUCAAGAGA